CGGUAUGCGGCCUGGAUGGACAUCAUAUUGCGAUAGUUAUCAAGCCGUGGAAGAGCUUCGCGUGUGAAAUGCCUAUAAAUAGAAUAGAGCGAGCUCACGUUCCUCUUGCGAGUCGUUCGAGUCACCGGAUUCCUCAUUCUGAGGCUCCACUUGAAAGCGAGUUGUUGUCUGCAGAUCCUUUAGCCGUGACGGCUUGUCUUUAUCGCGAAAACUACUUUUGAUCGAAAGCCUGCAUGGAAGGAAUUAGAAAUGAGUACGUAACAGCACAGCCACAGCUCCAGCCAAAACCACAGCAGCCAUAGUAAAGCGAUAAUGCGACGCGUCGCCAGUUUAUUGAACUUGUUGGCUAUUGGGGGGAUGA